GACAAUGUUAUUGUCUUCCAGGGAUUUCUCACUAGGUGGUCCGACUUUUAAAAACGCACAUACCUGAAAACUUUAAGUAUUUAAUAUGAAAGGCCAACUGCUAGCUAGCUGUAAGAAAAUCCUCUCCAAUCCCUCCACUCCGGUGUCUGUAAACAACCACUGUACUGGACUGAGGAAGAAAGUUAGCUGACCCAAGACUAACUAACACAUUGAAUAUCCGGUUUUUCUCUUAGAAACAUAACUCAAAUUGUAGUAGCGUAGAGGUGAGGCGCACAGGAAAGUGAAACGAAUGUGUUUUCCAGUUGAAACAGCUACUGCAAGUACUGUCGGGAAUAUAAACCCUUUUAAAUAAUAUUCUAGUUUAAGACUAAAUGUGUUGACUUUUAAUUUGAAAACACAAACCUUUAACCGGAAAUGCUCUUGCUUUCCCAUACACUUUACUUUUCCUUUACUGAGAAAUGUCGCGAUGCAUCCACAAUGUUCUAGAUUCCCACACGCGCAUGCGCCCCUCUGCAGCUAUGUGUACACACACUUUAAGCACAAAAAUAGACAUAUCCGCAUAAAAACUGCAACAUAAAUCACUACUCCAAAUAUUUGUUAUACUAUUUUUACUUUUAUAUAAAAGGUACAAAGGAGUAGUGGAGUUACAUAUUCACUGUAGAAACAUUUUGCAUUUAUAUGAAAUUUUCUCUUGACAUCAUUUAUCUUUAAUUUAGAUGUUACUAAUUUGCUUUUUUCAAAGACAAACUUCAACCUGAAAACUUUUCCAACAAGUGAAUGUAUUCUUUGAAACAUUUGUCUUCCUCUAGUGGGCGUUUAAAAAAAUAUCACUCACUCAGUCACCAAUAUAUGUUUUUAUGAAAAAGGAAUGUCAUGUGUUCAUUUGUAGAAGGUCCAGGCGGAGCUUAUUCGAAAGUCCUAAUACUGUUUGACACUUUAUAACAAUAUAUUGCAUUUUAUUUUUUCAAUUUAAAUGAAAGCAGUCAGAUAAUGCAAAGUAAAAAGUUAAACUACAAUGUUCCAUCUUAAAUUUGGAGAAAAUGUAUAAAGUGAAAUUAAAUAUAAGUAGGCCACUCAAUUAGUUACAAGUAUCUCACAACUGUCACGUGACUAAAUUGCUUUGAUACACUUUAAAAGCAUUAAAAGUAAGGUAGACUAUUUUAUGUCAAAAAGUGUUUUAGAAAAUAUCUUAUUAUUAUCUCAUAUUAUUUAAAAUAUCAAUAACGGCCUAUGGUGAAUUCAUUUAUUCUGUUGAUAGUGUCUGGAUUAUACUGUAUAUUUUUAUACCUGAUCCACACUGUAUCCAAUUUCUGUACUUCUGUUUAUAAUGUUUAUACCUCCCUAUCAUUUUCAUUGUGUAAAUACAUCAGUAUCUUUCUCUCACAUGUAUAUAUAUAUAUAUAUGUGUGUGUGUGUGUGUGUGUAUUAUUAUAUAAUACUUAAAUAACAGCCUUUUCUGCUUGUUUUGAACUUCUGGUUGGAUACAAACUGCAUUUUGCUGUCUUAGUACUUGGAACCAAUGACAGUAGAGUUAAAUCUAAUCCAACACGUUUUUUCUUUCAAUCAAUACACUUAGGUUAGGUAUAAAGUGAAAUUAAACAUACGUAGGCCACUCGAGUAAAAUACCUCAAAACUGUACUCACAUGAGUAAAUUGUUUAACUACACUUACCAUUAAAAGUGAGGUAGACUAUUUUAAAUUAAAGAUUGUGUUUACAGAAUAUCUUAACCCCAAUACAUUAGGGUUGGUCAGGUAGACGGGUGGUGAUGGAACUCAUCUUUUUCUUAUGUUUCUCAAUGCUGCACUGCAAGCUGAAUCAUAGAUCAUGCGUCAGUCGCAACUCUUCUCUUUUGUUACUAUUUUUAGGUGACAAACAUUCAAAACAUCAGACUGCGUUAACACUGAUAGGCAAUGAUAGCCCCUAUUCACAACAACAGCCCAUUCUACGUAGACUUAUGCGUAACAUCCCAUGUGCCUGAUGAUUAACAUCUUUAAGGUAACAACAGGUGCUUGUUAAAAUCCAGUGUUUCCUGUAUUGCUGGUUCUUCUUGGUUUUUCCCUUUGUACCUACGCACUAUGUGUGUGAUGUCUCAGAGCAGAAGGAACCUUUUCCCCCAUAUUAGUUACAAAUGAGCGCAGAAGCAGGAGAUAACUGAGAGAAAUCAAAAUGCUGGACUUGCUGGGAACUGUUGUUGGCCUCCUCUUCAUCAUAAUGUGCUUUUCGAAAGGACUCAAAGGGGGAAUUAAACCUCAAAAAAUACAAUUACCUGAAUCCUUUCCCAACAACAAGAAACAGAAGGAUCUGAGCGAAGAAGACGUGCAAUUAUUGGCAAGGAUCCUCUCAGUUGGAUUGGUGGACGCAGAUCCAAACUAUCUCCACCAUCUUAAAUGCUACAGAGACUUGCGUGGCCCCUGAUCUUCUUUGAAAAAAAAAGGCCACAUACAACAGUAUAUUGACAGCACACUGCUGUUCCUGAAUGUAUCCUUGGAGUUGUGAUGACACCAAAUCAAGGCUACUCAGCAUUGUGUUUUGGAUACCACAGGUCGAGUUAUUCCUGCUUCCAGAAGUUGAUUUGGAAAACAUGCACUUUAUUUAGGUCAAACGUGAUCUUGAAAAUGAUCAUGGAAUGACCUCCCCUUUGUGCGGAGGAGAACUGAAUGCCACCUAUAAUGGAUGUGGUGAUGCUGGUGGUGAAUACUGACUGUUUCCUUUUUGCUUCUCUGUAUACUACGUGGAAAAGAGCCUCUUAUAUCAUAUAGUCAACAUUCAUCUCUUUUGAUAUGAUAAUGAAUAUAUAGAAAAAGGCAGAACUUGUGCAGUUGCUCUUAAGUUGAACAUGCUUUACUAUGCUUGCUUAAAAUUAUUUUUUUCAAGUGUACAUGCCAUGUUAACUACCCCUUUGUUGAGUUGUAAAACUUAAUUCUGAUGUAUAAACUGUUUUCUACAGUUUCAGCACAUAUUAGACCAUUUAAAGUGAGACUAUGUAACUUUCCGAAACAGCAGCCGAGGCCACACUUGACAGAGAUUUUUUAAAAAGCCAGCUAGAUUUUAAGCUAAAUGCUAAACAGUUGUUUACUGCUUGCUAAACAGUAGUACUAACUCAAAUAGUAGCGUUAAGCUACAUUGUAGCAUAUAGCUAAAUGUUUUGAACAAAAAGUAAAUAAUUAGCAUCAAAAUACAAAAAAUACCAAAAGGAAGAGUACUCAUUCUGCACAGAGGCUCAUUUAGUAUUAGUAUAUACUUUUUUAUUGAAAUAUCGUUUUUGAUACACAAUGUGUUCAUCACUUUGAUGUUGCGGCUACUUAAGAAGGGGCUUAUUUUUGAAGUACAUAUAUACUGCCUGGUAGCUUUUGUGAAGGGUACAAUUAAGUUAAAGUAAUACAUGAUACAUUUUUGUUGAUUAUAUUUUGUAUUGUUAGUCUGAAUCUUCAAAAUAACUGAGGUUAUAAAAUAUAUGUUGUUGAGUAAAAAGUGCAAUAUUUUCAGCUGAGAAUUAAAAAGUAGCAGGAUGUGGAUGUAUGACAAAAUUGAACUUAAGAACAGAACUUGAUUAAAUGGGCUUAGUUAUUGUCCACGACUGGUCACGUCCUUACCUAGAAUGAAGGAGACAAAUGGGAGAGAUUAGACACAAAUGAACAUGUAGACCUCUGUUUUUGUCCAUUUAUAAACUUAAUGUGUCUUACUCCAGAACUGGCUGUUGAGCUUGUUUCCGAGCAUGUAGAGCAACGCCACCACAGACAUGUUGAAAAAGAAGAAGCCCCCCAAGCCAGGUGUGCUGAAGUGUGCGAGAAGGGGAUACACCCAAAUCCCCACUGACAAAUACACCCAUAUAAUCCUGCAGAACAUGUUUAGAGAGAGAAAAAAGUGAAACAGCAUUACUGUAUCUGUCGGAACAACCUGUACAGUCUUGUCUCAAAGAAUUAUUUAUCUUGUUGAUACAGUCAGUCAAAUAGCUUCCACACACUCAAACUGACAUCACUGAUUGUAAGAUUGUAUCACAGUAAAUAAUUUAAACCACAGCAUAUGUUUAUUGUUUGUACACGCAGAAACCAGGAUAUAAAGUUAGCAUUAAGGUAUGUGAGCCAACUGAAGUUUCAAAGUUACCCCUCAAGCUGCUGCAAUGGACUAGUCCAGACUAGUAAGAGUAAGAAAUUAGACACAUUUAGACACUGAUUUGCUUUUAGCUAUAUUAAGACAAUAUAAAAGACUCCCUCAGCUUCAAAUGAAAGAUGUUAAAUCAAGAAGGAAUCCGUUGUGAUAUAUGGGUUUUCCCUAUGUGCUUAAUAAAAGUUUUUUUUGUCAUGA